rnacentral:rRNA from 1 species
UACGUAGGGUGCGAGCGUUGUCCGGAAUUAUUGGGCGUAAAGAGCUCGUAGGCGGUCUGUCGCGUCGAUCGUGAAAACUUGGGGCUUAACCCUGAGCUUGCGGUCGAUACGGGCAUGACUGGAGUUCGGCAGGGGAGACUGGAAUUCCUGGUGUAGCGGUGAAAUGCGCAGAUAUCAGGAGGAACACCGGUGGCGAAGGCGGGUCUCUGGGCCGAUACUGACGCUGAGGCGCGAAAGCUAGGGGAGCGAACUGG